AUUGAACGCUGGUGGCAGGCUUAACACAUGCAAGUCGAACGGUAACAGGAAUUAGCUUGCUGAUUUGCUGACGAGUGGCGGACGGGUGAGUAAUGCUUGGGAAUCUGGCUUAUGGAGGGGGAUAACUACGGGAAACUGUAGCUAAUACCGCGUAAAAUCUUCGGAUUAAAGGGUGGGACUUUCGAGCCACCUGCCAUAAGAUGAGCCCAAGUGGGAUUAGGUAGUUGGUUAGGUAAAGGCUGACCAAGCCGACGAUCUCUAGCUGGUCUGAGAGGAUGACCAGCCACACUGGAACUGAGACACGGUCCAGACUCCUACGGGAGGCAGCAGUGGGGAAUAUUGCACAAUGGGGGGAACCCUGAUGCAGCCAUGCCGCGUGAAUGAAGAAGGCCUUCGGGUUGUAAAGUUCUUUCGGUGACGAGGAAGGUUGAUAGGUUAAUAGCCUAUCAAAUUGACGUUAAUCACAGAAGAAGCACCGGCUAACUCCGUG
rnacentral:rRNA from 1 species